UCUUAAGGCAGUUAAUAAUUUAGUAAAUAAGUUAAAUGUUUAAAAAGCAUUUCUAAAGGUUUCUUAUAAAUAUUUCAUGUUUAUUUGUAAGUUUUAUUUAAAAAAUAUUAGCGGACAAUUUCACCUCCGGUUCUGCCGCGCUAACUUCCGGUUUCGGUUUCAUGUAAACAGAGCAGGCGAAAUCCAGCAUGAUACGGUCCGCGAUCUGUCGCCAUUCUCAUUAAAGCACUGUCAAGGCAAUGCCGUAAGUUUAUAAAUAUGUUUAUACAGAUCUUAAGUAAUGUAUUUUUGUAUUGUUUAGUUGAGAAAUGCAUUUAAAGCGCCAAUGUAUGACUUUAUUUUCGUCUGUGUAGAGAUUAGUUUUUCUAAGAGCAUAUUGUGUAUGCUUUCAGUUUUCACCAUCUGGAGAAGAAAUUAAAAUGCAAAAACGUCCUUUGUGGUCCUGGUCUUCUUCAGUGGUUUAUCUACGUGUUCAUUUGGCAACAUAAUAGUGAAAAGGCAGCAUUCAGAGCUUCAUCGGGGUUAAAAUGGCGGCUAGCAACAGAUCUGCUACCAACGCAAGUCUUUCAUCCUCAUCUGCAAGCAGUGCCGCUCGUGCUCGAGCCAAAGCAGAAGCGGCUAGGGUAAGAGCCUCAUAUGCAAGCAAGGAAGCACAGUUAAAAGUGGAAAAAGUGAAAAUCGACACAGAGCUACACGUGCUAGAAUUACAAAGAGAAGCAGAUGCCGCAGUAGCUGAGGCAGAGGUGCUAGAAGAAGCAGAGCUAAUACGAGAUGGGCAUGAGAGCCGAAGAACAGAAUCAGAUAGAGUUAAAAGAGAAAGAACAUGUGAAUAUGUGAAAUCUCAAAUGGAUGUGAAUAAACAUAAUGGCCCCGCUCCAGUCACCUGCAACCAAAGUGAUGAAAUAGAGGGCACAUUCAUCACAUGGAAUCCUACUGAAAAUGACGUUUCAGACGCAGAACCUUCACGUGUUAAUACUAGGCCCAAACGCCAUAUCCAACACACAUCCGUGGCUUUCCAAACCACAUCUUCCUCUCCUAAAGGUGAGACUAAACCAAAAAGUGAACAAAUAAAGAACGCACUCAACCCAUUCUCUAGCCCUUUCGUGCCUCCCUACAACUCACCUGCAAGUACGUCACACCAAUCAGAGCCACUUGCACAAUAUAUAGCACGUCGUGACCUCAUCACUUCAGGUCUUUACCAAUAUGAUGACAAACCAGAGAAUUUCAGAGCGUGGCUCUCCUCAUUUACCGGGGCUACAGCAGACGUUCACCUCACGCCAACACAAGAGCUCGACUUGAUGACAAGAUGGUUAGGAAAGGAAUCAAGUAGUCAAAUUAAACGCAUUCGCUCUGUGUAUGUCAAUAGCCCCGCAGUAGCUCUACAGAAAGCAUGGGACAGACUCCAUGAGUGUUAUGCAGCUCCUGAAAUAAUUGAAAAAUCGCUCUUCCAGAGAUUGGACAAUUUUCCUAAAAUGACAGCAAAGGAUAAUGUGAAAUUAAGGGAACUUGGAGAUCUGUUACAGGAGAUUCAAGGAGCAAAAGAGGAUGGGUAUCUGCCUGGUCUUCUCUAUCUUGACACGUCACGCGGAAUCAGGCCGAUUGUGGACAAACUCCCAUACGGAAUUCAGGAGAAGUGGAUGUCACUAGGUUCACAAUAUAAAGAGGAUCAUCAAGACUGCUUUCCACCGUUCAGUUACUUUUGUAAGUUCAUAUGCAAAGAAGCUAAGAGACGUAACGAUCCAAGCUUUAACCAACAGUACAGCCUAACCCAAUCACACCCAGAAAGACCUUACCUGAGAAACUUUAGCUCCGCCAAACCCAUCUCCGUAAAUAAAACUAAUAUUACACCCCCCAACAAGGACUUUAAAAGCAACUGCCCGCUGCACAAUAAGCCCCACCCACUCAAUAAAUGCAGGACAUUCAGGAACAAACUGCUCGAAGAAAGAAAGGCCUUCCUCAAAGAGAAAGGAAUCUGUUUUAGGUGCUGUGCCUCGGACUCUCAUCUCGCUAAGGACUGCAAAUCCACAGUAAAGUGCUCCGAAUGUGAAAGUACAAGCCACGAAACAGUAAUGCAUCCUGGCCCUCCACCUCAAACCAUCAAGGCUCCUGCUCCCGCUCAAGAGGAUGGCGGGGAAGAAAAAGACAUCUCAGGCAGCAUCGCAGUAACCACUACAUGUACCAAAGUGUGCAGUCCAGGUCAGUGGGGUCGUUCUUGUUCAAAAAUUUGUCUUACAAAGGUGUAUCCAGAGGGUCACCAGGACAGUGCGGUUAAGGCUUACGUCAUACUCGAUGAUCAGAGCAAUCGAUCCUUAGCAAGGCCAGAGUUCUUCGAUCUGUUCAACAUUAAACACAGACUAGUCAGUUAUGAUCUAAGAACAUGUUCAGGCCUCGUUGAAACACGGGGGAAAAUGGCUGAAGGCUUUUACAUUGAGUCUUUAGAUGGGUCUGCGGUAAUCCCGCUUCCUCCUCUCAUUGAAUGUCAGGACAUUCCUAACGAAAGAAGCGAGAUCCCAACUCCAAACGCUGCACGACACCAGCCACACCUUCGGUCCAUAGCAAAGUACAUUCCAGAGCUAGACCAUAAUGCAGAAAUACUUCUACUGCUAGGACGAGAUGUUUUACGUGCACACAAAGUAAGGGAACAAGUUAAUGGCCCUCAUCAUGCGCCCUUCGCCCAGCGCCUAGAUUUAGGGUGGGUCGUAGUCGGGGAGGUGUGUGUAGGUAAGGUCCACAAGCCUACAGUCAACUCAUUCAAAACCAUCAUUCUUGAAAAUGGCCGCCCCACAGUUUUUGGACAGUGUGAUAACUUCCGUCAGCUCAAGGAAACGCCGUACAGUAACAGGCACACUAAGGCUCCAGAGAAAAGUCUGGGACAAUCAGUUUUCAACCACAGCAAAAGUGACAAUGAGCCAGCUCCCUCCGUAGAAGACACACGUUUUUUAAAGAUCAUGGAUGAAAGUAUGUACAGAGACGAUGACAAUAGCUGGGUCGCCCCACUUCCUUUCAGAGAGCCUCGCCGGAAGAUGCCUAACAAUAGAGAGCUAGCAGUCAGACGUUUUUUGUCUCUCAAGCGGAGUAUGCAAAAGAAACCCCACAUGCAGCAGCAAUACGUGGAGUUUAUGGGAGGGAUUUUCUCCAGCGGUCACGCUGAGAUAGCACCCGCACUGAAGCAAGGAGAAGAAUGCUGGUACCUCCCCACGUUUGGGGUCUACCACCCUCAAAAACCCAACAAGAUCAGGGUAGUUUUUGAUUCUAGUGCCCAGGAGGAUGGUGUCUCACUCAAUAGUGUACUCCUCACUGGCCCCGACUUAAACAAUAGUCUCAUAGGGGUACUCCUCCGCUUCCGUAAAGAAAGCAUUGCUGUUAUGGCUGACAUACAGCAGAUGUUUCACUGCUUCGUAGUGCGUGAGGAUCACCGGGACUAUCUUCGCUUUCUGUGGCACAAGGACAAUGAUGUUGAGAAGGAGGUCAUUGAUUAUAGAAUGAAGGUCCAUGUGUUUGGGAACUCUCCAUCUCCCGCUGUGGCUGUUUACGGUCUGCGAAAGGCCAUCGAAGCUGGAGCGAAAGACUAUGGGGCCGACACUGUCAAGUUUGUGAAGAGACACUUCUACGUCGAUGAUGGUCUGAUUUCUGUGCCUUCUCCAGCCGAAGCUAUUGACUUGCUCCAAAGAACGCAAGCUUCACUUGCUGAGUCCAAUCUGCGCCUGCAUAAGUUUGCGUCUAAUUCACCUGCAACCAUGCAAGCCUUCUCUCCUGAAGAUUGUGCAGCAGUCCUGAAAGAUCUGGAUCUGAGUGGUGAGGAAGCAGAAUCACAGCGCAGUCUAGGUCUAAUUUGGGAAACCAUAACAGACACAUUCACAUUUUCAGUGGCAACAACAAACAAGCCAUUUACUCGCCGAGGUGUCUUGUCAUCUGUUAAUAGUGUCUUCGAUCCACUAGGCUUAUUAGCACCAGUCACCAUUCAAGGAAGAGCUCUACUCAGAGAACUCACCUCAGAAAACUCUGAUUGGGACACACCUCUUCCAGAAGAAAAGCAGAGCAAAUGGGAAGCUUGGAGGGAUUCGCUGCAGAACUUAAGGGAACUCCAUGUCCCUAGAAUGUACACAUCUACCACUCUCAGUCAGGCAAAGCGCAAAGAACUCUAUGUCUUUUCAGACGCAUCGACCAAAGCAAUAGGUGCAGUAGCCUACUUGAGAGCUCUGUAUGCUAAUGACAAAGUUGAGGUGGGGUUUGUCAUGGGUAAAGCAAAACUAACUCCUCAGUCACAGCCCACUAUACCAAGAUUGGAACUGUGCGCCGCUGUCUUGGCUGUAGAGAUAGCUGAUCUCGUCAGGAAUGAGCUGGACAUAGAGUUUGACGCUGUUCACUUCCACACAGACAGCAAGGUGGUCUUGGGCUACAUCUGUAAUGAAUCAAAAAGAUUCUACACAUAUGUUCACAACAGAGUGCAGCGUAUUCGCCAGUCUUCAAAGCCGGAGCAGUGGCACUAUGUGCGCACCGAGGAAAACCCAGCGGAUCACGCAUCACGCUCGCUCACAGCAGCUCAACUAUCAAAAACUACUUGGUUCACUGGACCUUCCUUCAUCCGUCGUUCACCCCCAGAGGCAAAAAAUGAUAACAACUAUUUUGAGUUAGUUGAGCCUGACAAAGACUGUGAAAUCAGGCCACAAGUGAGAACUUGUUCCACUCACCUUCAAGUAGUCUCCUGCAAGCGCUUUGAGCGCUUUUCCACCUUCAAGUCUUUGGUCCGUGGAGUCGCCUUCCUCAUUCACAUGGCAAAAUCUUUCAAUGGCUCCAAUUCAAACCAUGGAUGCAAAGGGUGGCACAUAUGUCAGUUUCCUCGUACACCAGAUGAAAUGGAUCAAGCAAAGCGUGUCAUCCUUCAACAAGUGCAACAGGCCACCUUUGCAAAGGAGCUGUCUGCCCUCAACGCUGGCAAAUCCAUCGCCAAACAAAGCCCUUUGGAAAAGCUCAGCCCAGUCCUGGACAGCGGCAUCAUUUCAGUUGGAGGUCGUCUCAAACACUCAGAGCUUGAGAACUCUGAAAAAUACCCGAUAAUUCUCCCUAAGGACAGUCAUGUUUCUAUCCUGCUCACUCGCCACUACCAUGAACAGGUCAAGCACCAGGGUCGUCACCUAACAGAGGGUGCAAUAAGGGCUGGAGGUCUGUGGAUAAUCGGUGGAAAGAGACUAGUUAAUUCAGUUAUCCAUAAGUGUGUUAUCUGUCGCAAACUGCGUGGAAAGCAGGAAGAGCAACUCAUGGCAGACCUUCCCCCGGAACGUUUGAAAACAUGUCCUUCCUUUAGCUAUGUCGGCCUGGAUGUUUUCGGGCCUUGGACAGUAACCACCAGACGUACCAGAGGUGGUCAAGCACAGAGUAAGCGUUGGGCCAUCCUGUUUACCUGCAUGAGCUCAAGAGCCGUGCACAUUGAGGUGAUUGAGUCCUUAGACACCAGCAGUUGCGUAAAUGCCCUCAGACGCUUCUUUGCCUUGAGAGGCCCUGCCAAAAAACUUAUAUCGGAUCGUGGCACUAAUUUCAUUGGGGCUUCCAAGGAGUUAGGAAUGGACAAAGCUCUGCAACUAUACCUCAAUGAUCAAGGUUGCAGUUGGGAAUUUAAUCCGCCUCAUGCGUCCCACAUGGGAGGCUCCUGGGAGCGCAUGAUCGGCAUUGCACGGAGAAUAUUGGAUUCAAUGCUGCUUCAAAGUAAGGUGCAACUCACUCACGAGGUAUUGUGCACACUUAUGGCUGAAGUGUCAGCAAUCAUAAACGCCAGGCCACUCCUUCCAGUUUCAUCCGAUCCACUCAAUCCCUUCAUUCUCUCUCCCUCCAUGCUGCUAACCCAGAAAUCGUGCCUUACACCUCCUCCUGGAGAUUUCUUGGAUAAGGACCUUUACUCCAAGCAAUGGAGACAAGUUCAGGCUCUUGCCAAUCAGUUCUGGACACGCUGGAAGCGAGAGUACCUGCCUUUAUUGCAGCAGAGGCAGAAAUGGACUGUAUCUUGUCGUAAUCUGCAAGUUGGUGACCUUGUUUUGCUUAAGGACAAGCAGGUCCCAAGGAACAGCUGGCUCAUGAGUAGAGUCACGGCAACCUUCCCUGGGAAGGACAAUCUAGUAAGGAAGGUCGAGGUCACAGUAAAUGACCAAGGCACUCGAAAGACCUUUUUGCGACCAGUUACUGAAGUCAUUCUUCUUUUGCCAAAGGACUGAAACCCGCUAAGGUUUUGUUGUUGGUAGUGUCCUCUCUGAGGUCAGGCGGGGAAUGUGUUGUUCUUAAGGCAGUUAAUAAUUUAGUAAAUAAGUUAAAUGUUUAAAAAGCAUUUCUAAAGGUUUCUUAUAAAUAUUUCAUGUUUAUUUGUAAGUUUUAUUUAAAAAAUAUUAGCGGACAAUUUCACCUCCGGUUCUGCCGCGCUAACUUCCGGUUUCGGUUUCAUGUAAACAGAGCAGGCGAAAUCCAGCAUGAUACGGUCCGCGAUCUGUCGCCAUUCUCAUUAAAGCACUGUCAAGGCAAUGCCUUUUCACCAUCUGGAGAAGAAAUUAAAAUGCAAAAACGUCCUUUGUGGUCCUGGUCUUCUUCAGUGGUUUAUCUACGUGUUCAUUUGGC